UGGGGAAUAUUGCACAAUGGGCGAAAGCCUGAUGCAGCAACGCCGCGUGAGCGAAGAAGGUCUUCGGAUUGUAAAGCUCUGUCCUUGGGGAAGAUAAUGACGGUACCCUUGGAGGAAGCCCCGGCUAACUACGUGCCAGCAGCCGCGGUAAUACGUAGGGGGCAAGCGUUAUCCGGAUUUACUGGGUGUAAAGGGAGCGUAGACGGCAAUGCAAGUCUGAAGUGAAAGGCCGGGGCUCAACCCCGGGACUGCUUUGGAAACUGUGUAGCUGGAGUACAGGAGAGGUAAGUGGAAUUCCUAGUGUAGCGGUGAAAUGCGUAGAUAUUAGGAGGAACACCAGUGGCGAAGGCGGAUUGCUGGACAGUAACUGACGGUGAGGCGCGAAAGUGUGGGGAGCAAACAGGAUUAGAUACCCUGGUAGU
rnacentral:rRNA from 1 species